rnacentral:rRNA from 1 species
AAAAUGACUAUCGACAACAUAUAUCUAGGCUCCCGCAUCGAUGAAGAACAUAGCGAAAUGUGAUACUUGGUGUGAAUUACAGAAUCCCGUGAAGCAUCGAUUCUUUGAACGCAAGUUUCACCCAAAGCCUUCUGGCUGAGGGCAUGUCUGUCUGGGCGUUAUGC